rnacentral:miRNA from 1 species
AGGUGGGAGGAUUGCUUGAGCCUGGGAGGUGGAGGUUGCAGUGACCUGAGAUUGUGCUACUGCACUCUAGCCUGGGCGAUAGAGCCAGACUUUGUCUC